UAACGGGUGAGUAACACGAGAGUAACCUGCCCUUUCCUCUGGGAUAACUCCGGGAAACCGGUGCUAAUACUGGAUAUGACUCCAACCUGCAUGGGUAUGGGGUGGAAAGAUUUAUCGGGAUGGGAUGGACUCGCGGCCUAUCAGCUUGUUGGUGGGGUAAUGGCCUACCAAGGCGACGACGGGUAGCCGGCCUGAGAGGGUGACCGGCCACACUGGGACUGAGACACGGCCCAGACUCCUACGGGAGGCAGCAGGGGGGAAUAUUGCACAAUGGGCGAAAGCCUGAUGCAGCGACGCCGCGUGAGGGAUGACGGCCUUCGGGUUGUAAACCUCUUUCAGCUCUGACGAAGCUUUUGUGACGGUAGGAGCAGAAGAAGCACCGGCUAACUACGUGCCAGCAGCCGCGGUAAUACGUAGGGUGCGAGCGUUGUCCGGAAUUAUUGGGCGUAAAGAGCUUGUAGGCGGUUUGUCGCGUCUGCUGUGAAAUCCCGGGGCUUAACUCCGGGCUUGCAGUGGGUACGGGCAGGCUAGAGUGUGGUAGGGGAGACUGGAAUUCCUGGUGUAGCGGUGAAAUGCGCAGAUAUCAGGAGGAACACCGA
rnacentral:rRNA from 1 species